UUAAGAGUUUGAUCCUAGCUCAGGAUGAACGCUGGCGGCGUGGAUAAGGCAUGCAAGUCGAGGGGGCACUCCACACAGAAUGCGAUCAAUACAUGAUCGUCGAUUGUGUGGAGUGUCACCGGCAAACGAGGUAGUAACACGUAGGAACGAACCGAGAAGUCAGGAAUAACCCAUCGAAAGAUGGACUAAUACUUGAUAGUCCCGAAAGGGUAAAGAUUUAUCGCUUUUUGGUCGGCCUGCGGAAUAUCAGCUAGUUGGCGGUGUAAUAGACCACCAAGGCUAUGACGUUUAGGGGAGGUGAGAGCCUGACCCCCACCGAUGGGACUGCGACACGGCCCAUACACCUACGGGUGGCUGCAGUCGAGAAUCUUCCACAAUGGACGAAAGUCUGAUGGAGCGACGCCGCGUGACUGAUGAAGCAUUUCGGUGUGUAAAGGUCUUUUAUGAGGGAUGACAUAAGCGACAGUACCUCAUGAAUAAGGGGCUGCUAAUCACGUGCCAGCAGCAGCGGUAAUACGUGAGCCCCGAGCGUUAUCCGGAAUUAUUGGGCGUAAAGAGUGCGUAGGCGGCGUAGUUAGUCUUCUGUUUAAUCCUUCGGCUCAACCGGAGAACUGCAGAGGAAACGGCUAUGCUUGAGCAUGUAAGAGGUGAGCAGAACUCAUGGUGUAGGGGUGAAAUCCGUUGAUAUCAUGGGGAAUACCAAAUGCGAAGGCAGCUCACUGGUACAUUGCUGACGCUGAGGCACGAAAGCGUAGGUAGCGAAUGGGAUUAGAUACCCCAGUAGUCUACGCUGUAAACGAUGUUCUCUCGCCUUACGGAGUAUCGACCCUCUGUGAGGCUAAGCUAACGCGUUAAGAGAACCGCCUGGGUAGUACGAUCGCAAGAUUAAAACUCAAAGGAAUAGACGGGGACUUGCACAAGCGGUGGAUUAUGUGGUUUAAUUCGAUGGUACACGAAGAACCUUACCAGGGUUAGAUAUCCUAUGGAAAGACUAAGGAAACUUAGUAACUCCGCAAGGACCGUAGGACAGGUGAUGCAUGGCCGUCGUCAGUUCGUGGUUUGAACUGUUCCCUUAAGUGGGGUAACGAACGCAACCCUUAUCGUCUGUUACAAGUGUCAGGCGAGACUGCCCAGCCCUUUGAGCACAAUCCAAUCAUGAAAGAAUUGAUUGAGAUUGCGAAUAAGGGGCUGGGAGGAAGGUGGGGAUGACGCCAGGUCAGCAUGUCCCUUGAUGCCCUGGGCUACACACAUAAUACAAUGGAGGUUACAACGGGCAGCGACCCAGCAAUGGUGAGCUAAUCCUUAAAAAGCCUUCUCAGUCCGGA
rnacentral:rRNA from 1 species